rnacentral:rRNA from 1 species
AGAGUUUGAUCAUGGCUCAGAACGAACGUUGGCGGCGUGGAUUAGGCAUGCAAGUCGAACGAAUCCCACUGCUGUAGCAAUACAAUGGUGGGGGAAGUGGCGAAAGGGGCAGUAAUGCGUGGGUAACCUACCUCGGGGACGUGGAUAGCCAUUCUAACGAGUGGGUAAUACGCGGCGAUUUGGUUGAGGGGCAUCCCCUUGGCCAGGAAAUGAAUUUCGCCUCGAGAGGGGCUCACGUGAUAUUAGCUAGUUGGUGGGGUAACGGCCCACCAAGGCAAAGAUGUCUAGCGGGUGAGAGCACGACCCCGCGCCCACUGGCACUGAGACACUGGCCAGACACCUACGGGUGGCUGCAGUCGAGGAUCUUUGGCAAUGAGCGCAAGCUUGACCAAGCGACGCCGCGUGUGCGAUGAAGGCCUUCGGGUUGUAAAGCACUGUCGAGGGGGACGAAGCCGCAAGGUUGACCGAUCCCUGGAGGAAGCACGGGCUAAGUUCGUGCCAGCAGCCGCGGUAAGACGAACCGUGCGAACGUUGUUCGGAAUCACUGGGCUUAAAGGGCGCGUAGGCGGCUUGCCAAGUCAGGGGUGAAAUCCAGCAGCUUAACUGUUGAAGUGCCUUUGAUACUGGCGAGCUCGAGGGAGGUAGGGGUAUGCGGAACUUCUGGUGGAGCGGUGAAAUGCGUUGAUAUCAGAAGGAACGCCGGUGGCGAAAGCGGCGUACUGGACCUCUUCUGACGCUGAGGCGCGAAAGCUAGGGGAGCAAACGGGAUUAGAUACCCUAGUAGUCC